AACGUAGGACGCAAGCGUUAUCCGGAGUUACUGGGCGUAAAGGGCAGGCAGGCGGGCUGAUAAGUUGGGUGUGAAAUCUCCUGGCUCAACCGGGAGGGUGCAUCUGAGACUGUCAGUCUGGAGGGCAGCAGAGGAGCGUGGAAUUCCGGGUGGAGUGGUGAAAUGCGUAGAGAUCCGGAGGAACACCAGAGGCGAAGGCGGCGCUCUGGGCUGCACCUGACGCUGAACUGCGAAAGCCAGGGGAGCGAACGGG
rnacentral:rRNA from 1 species